GAUGAACGCUGGCGGCGUGCCUAAUACAUGCAAGUCGAGCGAACGGACGAGAAGCUUGCUUCUCUGAUGUUAGCGGCGGACGGGUGAGUAACACGUGGAUAACCUACCUAUAAGACUGGGAUAACUUCGGGAAACCGGAGCUAAUACCGGAUAAUAUUUUGAACCGCAUGGUUCAAAAGUGAAAGACGGUCUUGCUGUCACUUAUAGAUGGAUCCGCGCUGCAUUAGCUAGUUGGUAAGGUAACGGCUUACCAAGGCAACGAUGCAUAGCCGACCUGAGAGGGUGAUCGGCCACACUGGAACUGAGACACGGUCCAGGCUCCUACGGGAGGCAGCAGUAGGGAAUCUUCCGCAAUGAGCGAAAGCCUGACGGAGCAACGCCGCGUGAGUGAUGAAGGUCUUCGGAUCGUAAAACUCUGUUAUUAGGGAAGAACAUAUGUGUAAGUAACUGUGCACAUCUUGACGGUACCUAAUCAGAAAGCCACGGCUAACUACGUG
rnacentral:rRNA from 1 species